UGAGGCUUCCUACUUCAAGGCUG
rnacentral:miRNA from 2 species